AAGAAGAACCAGCAACACCACUAUCAGCAGGAGGAAGAAAAACCACCACCACCACCACCAGUAGAGGAAGAAGAAGGACCACCACCACCAGCAGAGGAAGAAGGACACCAUCAACAACAGCAACAUCACCACCAUCAGAGGAAGAAGAACAAGCACCACUACCACCAACACCACACCGCCAUCAGAGGAAUAAGAAGCAGCAGCAACAUUACCACCACCAACACCAGCACCAGAGGAAGAAGAAAAAGGACCAACACCACCAGCAGAGGAAUAAGAACUUACCCUGACACUUCAAGCACCACCAAACUGACUGACUCAACCAGGUUAAGAAUAGAAGGAUAGGAUAUGUUAGGAUAAGAUAGGACAGGAUAUGGUUUGUUAGUGGUCCAUGUAGUUGCCAGGGUCAGGAGGAGGAGAAGGAAGAAGAAGCAGCAGCAUCACCAUGAGAGAAAGAAGCAGCAGCACAACCACCACCAGCAGAGAAAGAAGCUUAACCAUCACCAGCAGAGGAAGAAGAAGCAGCACUAUCACCACCAUUGGAAGAAGAAGAAGAAGAAGAAGCAGCAGCAUCACAAUCAGAGGAGGGACCACCACAACCACCAGCUGAGGAAGAACCAGAACCACCACCAUCAUUAGAGGAAGAAGAAACAUCACCACCAACACCACUGAAGGGAAAAGAAGAUGCACCACCACCAUCAUCAGAGGAAUCACCAUCAGAGGAAGAAGCACCACCACCACCAUCAGAGGAAGAAGCACCAUCACCACCAUCAAAAGAAGCACCACCACCAUUAAAAGAAGAAGCACCACCAACAUCAAAGAAGAAGCAGCACUAACACCACCAUCAGAAGACGAAACAGCACCACCACCACCAGAGGAGGAAGAAGCACCACCACCACCACCACCACUACCACCACCAGCAGAAGAAGAUCCACAACAACCACCAGCAGAGGAAUAAGAACCACCACCACACUGAGGAAGAGGAAGAAGCAGAUGAAGAAGAAGCACCACCAUUGGAAGAAGAAGCAGCACCACCACCACCAGCAGAGGAAGAAGAAGGAUCACCACCAGCAGCAGAGGAAGAAGGGCCACCAUCACCAGCAGAGGAAGAAGGACCACCACCACCACCAGCAGAGGAAGAACAAGAACCACUACCAUCAGCAGAGGAAGAAGAAAAGAUGGAGAAGAAAAUGAAGAAAGGAAGAAGAAAAAAGAAAAGAAGAAAAGAAGGAAAGAAGACAAAAAGAAGAAGAAAAGAAAAAGAAAAAGAAGGAAAGAAAAAGAAGAAAAGAAAAAGAAAAGAAGAAGAAGAUGAAGAAGAAGAAGAAAAGUACAAGAAGAAGAAGAAGAAGAAGAUAUUAGUGUGGACUUGAAUAUUGAUUGACAUGAUAGGUGUGGCAGGUAACUCCACACUGCUUUCACUCUUACACCACACUUCAGUACAUGAAACCUUAUGAGCUUGAUUCAAGGUUGAUACAUAACCUGUAAUCUCUCUUUGUACAUUACCAAUCACACAGACCUCAGACAUUAUAAGGUGAUCACACAAAUUAAGGAGGACCUUCCAAGUCUGCAAAAGAAACUGCAAUGAGCUCAAGCACUCUGAGAAUCCUUAAAAAAACAAAUAAAGGACAAAUCACUUGGAAUUAUUUGAACAGUACAUUGCUGAGCACAACCAAAUGUAUAUACUAAAUGUAUAUGGAAAUAAAAAGUUGUGUGAGUGGACAAAUAACACCUCAUCCCACAUUCUUCAGUGAAUUGGUGUGGUGCUGCCUUCACAUGGCAACCAGCUCACCCAUUUACUUAAUUCAACAGUGAGGAUGGCAACUUUUGGCUUCCAGCAAAAUGAGUGAAGUUGAACAGCAAGCUGUGAUAAAGAUUUCUGUGAUUCAAGGGAAAGCAUCACAGUUGAUUCAUGAGUUGAGGACAGCACUAAAGGACAGUGCCCUAUCCUAUUCCACUGUCAAACAUUGGGCUGCUUUCUUCAAGCAGGGCCAAGACUCAUGCGAGGAUGUCUCCCAUGGUGGUGGUCCAUCAACUGCAGUCACCAAGGAAACUGUGGCUAUGGUGGAAAGCAUGGUCAUGAUAAUCACCAAGUCUCAGUGCAAUACAUUGUUUCUCAACUGGAGAUCAGUAAUUGAUCUGUUGUUACCAUCUUGCAUGAUCACCUCAAACUUUCCAAGGUGUCUGCCCAAUGGGUCCAAAGAAUGUUGAUGCCUGAACAAAAGAGGAACCAGAUAAUGACUUCAGAAAAGAAGUUGACCCUCUUGAGAAUGGAUCCAGAGGGAUUCAUGGCCUAAAUCAUGACCUAAGAUGAAACGUGGGUUCCUCACUUUGAUCUGGAAACCAAAGCUGGAUCUAAGUGAUGAAAGCAUCCCUCCUUUCCAACGCCAUAAAGUCAUCCCAGAAGAUCGUGGACAGUGCUCCUGUGCAUGACAGCAUGAGACCAUGAGGAAAGUGGUGUCCUGUGGCUUCAAACUGUUGCCUCAUCCCCCUAAUUCUCCAGAUCUGGCACCCUCUGACUUUCACCUUUUCCCAUACAUGAAGAAGCAGCUGUGGAGUGUCUCUUUCACUAAUGACGAGGAAACCAAGGUCAUGAAGGUAUUGGGGGGAUUCAACCCACCAUUUUUCAGGGACAGAUUUUCACAAUUGAAGACAAGACAAAAGAAGUGCAUGAUGGUCACAGGCAAUUACAAUGAAAAUUUUUUUCUUAAAAGCGAAUUGAGUGAACUUUUACUCUGUUUGCUUCCGCUGGGUUAGGACAAGAACUCACUGAACGUCCCUCAUAAUACCUAAGUACACUACCUAUGUGUCCCUACUUCUACCUGUGACCAUACCAGUGCUGCUGUCCCUCAAGAUGGUGGAUGGCUUUUGCAGAAAGUCAAGUACACACCAAGGAAAAAGAUGAGUAAAUUUACAUGUUGUAAUCAUAUAUAUAGAGCACAUACGCUUGAAUUUACUGUUUCACAGUCCACUGUUAUUCAUUUUCUUUCUAAGGAUUUCAUGAUCAGGGCAUGACUACACAUUCCACGUAAAAUUAACAAGCAAUUGUGCAAUAUGGGAUUUUCAGCUUCACAGUUUACUUUUUCAUAUCAACUGUACAUGAUUCAAGCAAGAAGUUGUAUAGUUUCAUGUUUGAUUAGGCUCCUGGAACUGGGAGAGA